rnacentral:rRNA from 1 species
AUAGCGUAUAUUAAAGUUGUUGCAGUUAAAAAGCUCGUAGUUGAAUUUUGGACCUGGCUGGGUGGUCUUGCCGAAAGGUAAGCACUGCUCUGGUCGGGUCUUUCCUUCUGGGGAACCUGUGUGCUCUUAAUUGAGUGCGCAGGGGAUCCAGGACUUUUACUUUGAAAAAAUUAGAGUGUUUAAAGCAGGCUUACGCUUGAAUACAUUAGCAUGGAAUAAUAGAAUAGGACUUUGGUUCUAUUUUGUUGGUUUCUAGGACCGAAGUAAUGAUUAAUAGGGAUAGUUGGGGGCAUUAGUAUUUAAUUGUCAGAGGUGAAAUUCUUGGAUUUAUGAAAGACUAACUUCUG